rnacentral:rRNA from 1 species
CAAGCGGUGGAGCAUGUGGUUUAAUUCGAUACUACGCGCAAAACCUUACCAGCCCUUGACAUAUGAACAACAAAACCUGUCCUUAACAGGAUGGUACUGACUUUCAUACAGGUGCUGCAUGGCUGUCGUCAGCUCGUGUCGUGAGAUGUUUGGUCAAGUCCUAUAACGAGCGAAACCCUCGUUUUGUGUUGCUGAGACAUGCGCCUAAGGAGAAAUUGCCACCGAAGUGAGCCGAGGAGCCGAGUGACGUGCCAGCGCUACUACUUGAUUGAGUGCCAGCACGUAGCUGUGCUUUCAGCAAGAAUUUCACCAUUGGGAGCCGGUGCCUUUCGAAGCACUUUCACGUGUGAACCGAAGUCGUCUUGCCCAAGACCCACGGAGACCUACCUAUAGUGACGUCAAAGUACCAGUGAGCAUGGAGGUUUGGUUGAAAUUGGUUACGACGACGUCGAGUUGGCGGCGGAGGAAGACUCGGCAUGAAGGCCAGCCGCCCGGUGGUGUGGUACGUAGUGGUAAUAGUACGCGCCCCGCUCCGAAACAAAGAAAAAGGUGCGUGCCGCACUCACGAGGGACUGCCAGUGAGAUACUGGAGGAAGGUGGGGAUGACGUCAAGUCCGCAUGGCCCUUAUGGGCUGGGCCACACACGUGCUACAAUGGCAAUGACAAUGGGAAGCAAGGCUGUAAGGCGGAGCGAAUCCGGAAAGAUUGCCUCAGUUCGGAUUGUUCUCUGCAACUCGGGAACAUGAAGUUGAAAUCGCUAGUAAUCGCGGAUCAGCAUGCCGCGGUGAAUAUGUACCCGGGCCCUGUACACACCGCCCGUCACACCCUGGGAAUUGGUUUCGCCCGAAGCAUCGGACCAAUGAUCACCCAUGACUUCUGUGUACCACUAGUGCCACAAAGGCCUUUGGUGGUCUUAUUGGCGCAUACCACGGUGGGGUCUUCGACUGGGGUGAAGUCGUAACAAGGUAGCCGUAGGGGAACCUG